UACGUAGGGUGCGAGCGUUGUCCGGAAUUACUGGGCGUAAAGAGCUCGUAGGUGGUUUGUCGCGUUGUUCGUGAAAUCUCACGGCUUAACUGUGAGCGUGCGGGCGAUACGGGGCAGACUUGAGUACUGCAGGGGAGACUGGAAUUCCUGGUGUGGCGGUGGAAUGCGCAGAUAUCAGGAGGAACACCGGUGGCGAAGGCGGGUCUCUGGGCAGUAACUGACGCUGAGGAGCGAAAGCGUGGGGAGCGAACAGG
rnacentral:rRNA from 1 species